CUUUAUCCAUCGUCAACUUGAAUUGUGGGGUCAAAGACAAAUCAUCCCUUGGACUACAGCAGAAUCUGUUCUCUGUAAAUCCCGCAAGAAACUCUUCAAGGAAGAAGACACUAUACAGUAUGGAGCCUUCCCACUUCUAACUGAAGCAGAUUCUUCAUUAGUCUCAAUAACCCAACGGUUAUGAAUGGAUAGAAAGAUGUGACACGUGGUCAUACACACAUGCAUGCAGACACAUCCACACCCAGAUACAUACAAAUAUUAAUCAGCCUUUAAAAGGAGUGUAUCUGGCAUAUACUAAAGCAUGGGUGAGUCUCAAAGACAUUAUGCUAAGUAAAAUAAGCCAGACAUCACAUAAUGCAUAUGGAGGGUGCCACUUGCUUGAUAUAGAUAUCGAUAGAUUAGUCAAUUUAACAGACAUGGAAUAUCAAGAGGUAUUGCCAAGGGCUGGAGUACAGUAGGGAAUUCUUGUUUAAUGGAUACAAAGGUUGACUGGGGAAGAAGGAAAGAUUCUGGAGAUAGCUGGUGUUGGCUAUAUAAUACUGUUACUAAUGAACACAGUGCACCUAAAGUGGUAGCUUAAAAUGGUUAACAUAGUAAACUGUGUUAUUUUUAGAUUACAAACAAAAGUAAUUAAAUUUUUAAUGAAGUUGA